UUUUUUUUUUUUUUUUUUUUUUUUGGUCUAAGAUGUUACUUUUUACUAUACCACAGAUAAGAACUCACUAAGUUAAUUCAGAUAAAAUAGUAAAUCCAUAGAUUACAGCUGGGAAAUAAUGAAGAGGGAUGAAUCACGUCUAACCAAGGUGACUUGAUAUAUGGUGUGUCGAUAGGAAACUUGAAAAGCAGUAUGGUUGACGUUAGUUCUUUACUUUUUCGAUGACGUCACAACAGAGCUAAGUCAGUGUUACUGACUAGUGUUAAGUGUUAACUCAUAUUAUUCCAAGAAUUAUAUCCUCUUUUACAGAUACAAUGGUCAUUUAUUGCCAGGAGUAGGAACUUGCGACUCGAGUUUAUAUUUUGAAGACGCUCUCCCAAUCAAAGACUCAAGACUUUACUUGAACUCCGUAGCUAAGUCUUGCGACUCGACUUCGACUACAAAACUAGUAUAAUAUGGACGAACGAAAGGCCUUAACACUGUAGAUCCUAUAUUAUAGUUUAGAACUUGAAAUGAGCUUGAAUAACAUUUGAGGAUUCGAUGAAAAUAUUCAAGGACUUAGACAUGACUUGAGAUUCAACGUAGACUUGCAGUAUAAAGACUUUUUCUCUACUCUGAAUAAUACUGUGUUGUAAGCUGAAUGAAUGGGAGUGACUCUCCAAAAUCUUAAGAUACUAUUGUUUAAAAAUUACAAUUCAAGUGAGGGCUCAUUAAAUUUUUGAAGUAGGACCUUGAAGACGAGCUAUAAGAUAACUAAUCCUGCCGUUCUACAUGUCAUGCCCUAUUAAAACUAAGCAAACUAAAACUGACAUAGUACCAUCAAUCUUUCUACUGGAAACACAAGCCUUCAUCUUGCAAAAUAUGAAAUACGAAUUGAUAAUCUUAUAUUGUAAGACAUAGUAAAUUAUUGGAAUUAUUAGAUGAAUGAAUAUAAGCGUUUCAAUCCUCCAAUCAACUCAACAAUUUCUCAAAUAUCCAAAUUCUUAGUUUUUUUAAAUCAUGGGUAUAAUUUUUAUCUUUAUCAAAAUCAUAAUAAUAUCCAGUCUCAAGUUUUUUGUCUAUUGUGAGAUCAAAUAAAAUUAAGAUCGUUGAUGCAAUUCAUAACAUCAUAACUUAUUUGAAAGUUAUUCUUGAGUAGUAAUACUAUAAUAUGGAACCAAAAGAGAUGAUUAUCAAAAUUGAAAAAUGGUUUUCUUGUUAUGUGCUCUGUACAAAUUAGUUAUAAUUUGCUAAUUUUACUCUCUUCACUAUCAAUAAGGAUAGAGGAAGACUAAUAUAUACUAUGAAGCUGGUUUUUAAGUGUAUUUGUAAGUGAAUAGCCUAUGGAUUUUAAUGAUCGAGAUAUUUUAUGGGAAGAAACAGUCCAUAAACAAAUGUAAGAGCCUAUUUUCAAAUUCAUAUUUUGACUUUUUCAGACUUUGUAACAUACAAAAAUAUGAUUUUUUUUAUACACCUUCACAGAAAAAAAAAUUAGUGCUGUAAGAAUAAUAUUUUACCCAGAAUACAGAAAAGAAAUGCACAUUUACUUGCUACAAUAUUAUAGAUACAAUUAAAAUAUUUAAUACAAUCAUUUUUCGAUCGAGAUACAUACAAUGAAUUCAAAAUACACUUCAUAGUUAAUUCACACUUCUAUUUCCAGUAACUAUUUAUCUCGCGUUUCCUAUUAUCUUGCACAUUAACAGAGGGACAAUAACUUUUAAAUAUGAGAUUAGACGUUUUCUAAUCUAUUAAUUUAAUAAAUUUAAAAAUCUUCAUAUAAUUUGAAGAUACAAAAAUAGUCUUUAUCUUUACUUAGGGACAAUAAAUUUUUCAUCUCAUCAGAAAUGAUUCCAUCAAACCAAUUUAUAUAUUUUUUUCCCUAAUGAAUAAAAAAAUGUUCUAUUUUCCUUAAAUGCUUAUAAAAAUUUUCUCUGACAACUGGAAGGGGUGAUGUUUCCCCUAAAGUACCAUGCAAAUCUACAAUUCAUUGCACUUUAUUCAUUAGUGGCUACAAACUACUUCAUCUCAUGAAAACUGACUUUUUUUCACUAAUAAAUAUAAAAAUGUUCAAGGUUCCUAAUGUUUAAAAAAAAUCUCUAUUAAUUGGUAUUGUCAUUUUUCGUCAAAGCCAAUUCGGAGGGCAUUUGAUUUAUUAAUUGAAGCUUUAUAUUGGGACUUUUUCUUAAAUUUUUGCAAUGCCACUAUAUUUAAAACCCUCUAGAACAUUAUUGGUCAAUUUUUUUGUAAUGUAUUUAAGAAAAUGUAAUUAAAUUUAUGAUUAAAAACAUGUAUAUAUUUAUGACGUUUUAUGCGUCAAAGUAAACAAACUAUCAAAGAUCUAUUUAUGAAAGGUUACCCCACAGUAAAACCAGCUAGUAGGAUUUAUUUAGCGUCUAUUGACAGUUAUUCACCAAAGUUUCAGCCAUUUUAGAAAAUAAAUAUAUAUAAUACUUAUAUUCAUAUUAUUAAAAGUAAUUAAAUAAUUAAAAUGAUUUACCCAAUUUGCUCAGCUUUUUUAUGGACGUGUCUAUGUAUAUUUUCGUAAUUUUUUGAGCUAUCAUCUAAAGAUUUCAGAUAAGGAAGAAAUAUUUCAUUUUCACUCUCUUUUCCAUAUAUGAUUGUUCCUUCCAAGUUAGGAAUAUUAACCAUAUUAUUAAACGAUGGAUAAAUUUGUUGCGAUAUAUUUGUUAAAUUGUACAUAUUGGAUACUAAGUUUUAAUGAUCUUAUUAUUUAUAACACUACAUCAUUUAACAGAAAUUAAAAGCGGGCACAUUGUUCCUUUAUUAUUAUGAAGUGAAAGUUUUAAAUUAUUGUACUUACAUUAACAACUACAACCAGACUAAUAAUUUCUUUGUAAGAUUGAAAAGUGCGCCUUUUCUAUUUAGAGAUAUAUUUUGUAACUGAAGAUUAUUAAUCUAUAAUAUGCAUAUACAUUAUAAUUAUAUUCAACCUUUCUUUGUUAUAAUAUUAAAAAAAUUGAUAAUACAAAAUGAUUUUUUUUUUCCCAUUAAAAAUUUAAA
rnacentral:lncRNA from 1 species